rnacentral:tRNA from 2 species
GACCCUGUAGUUCAACGGAUAGAAUAAGUCCCUUCUAAGGAUUAGAUCCGCGUUCGAUUCGCGGUGGGGUCA